CGUAGACAUAAACAAGAAAAACUUUUUGCUACUAUAUGGAAAUUGUCGAUUUCAAAAUUGCCGGCGGUUUAAUCUUCUUGCUCCGAGUAGCAAAGACUUCGUCGGUGGGAGGGUCUCUUGUUAUCUCUGCUGACAAACACUCCAAAGACGAUAACCACUAUCUCUCCUCCGAGUAGCGUCGACUUCGCUGGCGAGAGGGUCUCUUGUUAUCUCCGCUGUCAAAUACUCCAACGACGAUAACCUCCAUAUCUUCAUCUGUUAAUUACGUAUGUCACUUCAUGGUUUCGAAUCUAUGUUACUUCUAGCAUUAAGAGAAACUAUCUGCGUCUACUUUACAGUAAAGGAAAAUCUCCUAGUCAGCAAAGGAGUAUGAUUUAUUAUAGCUAUUUGUCAAAUUUUCAAAUGGUUAGAGAAGGUGUGGGAUUUGAUGCAUGGGAGGCUGUAAUAAAGUCUGCAAUUGGUGUAUUUCCUAUGUUUUUUAUGAGCUCAAAUUCACAUGGUGGGCAAAGCUUGUCCAUUACCUAUUAACGAAUCAGCUUCAAGUGAAGAAGCAUUAUGAGAUAUGGUCGUUGAUUGAUUGGCAGCUCAUUCGUCUCUCCUUGGUUGAAUUUGGUGAGAUAACAAGAAUGAAUUGCGAACCAUUCCAAAAGGGGAAAUUUGUGAUGUUGAUCAUUCAGAGUUCUGGAAAGAAAUGGGGGUUUCUGCAGUUGUUGGUCCUAACUUAGUUCAGCUUCAGUCGGUAUUGGAAAGAUGCCAAUAUUGGAGUCUCGAGAAGAGGACAAUGGGUGGAUAGUUAUGUGUUAUUCAUCUUGGUAUCUAUGGAAUUUCUCCCUCACGUCAUAUUAUGUUGGAUUGUGCGAAGAGAGUCCUUGAUUAUGAAGCUUUCCGGAGAUACCUGAGGGGUCUUGUAGCGUGGCAGAGUUUGAUAUACUCUGUUAAGUGUGUCGAUUACAGCAAAAAAGAAUCUUAUACGAAGGCAGGGUUCAUUUUCAUCUUACAGAUAUGGGCAUAUGGUGUUUGAUAGAAAAGUUGGUUUUGUACCUUUCUUGAGGCUAUGGUGUUUUUUCUUUAUUUUACUUUCUUGUCUGAUACAGAAGCCGUUGCGUUAAAAAAAUCCAUGUUCAAUUGUC